CCUACGGGAGGCAGCAGUGGGGGAUAUUGCACAAUGGGGGGAACCCUGAUGCAGUGACGCCGCGUGGGUGAAGAAGCGCCUCGGCGCGUAAAGCCCUGUCAGCAGGGAAGAAAAUGACGGUAACUGAAGAAGAAGCCCCGGCUAACUACGUGCCAGCAGCCGCGGUAAUACGUAGGGGGCAAGCGUUAUCCGGAUUUACUGGGUGGAAAGGGGGCGCAGACGGCGAUGCAAGCCAGGAGUGAAAGCCCGGGGCCCAACCCCGGGACUGCUCUUGGAACUGCGUGGCUGGAGUGCAGGAGGGGCAGGCGGAAUUCCUGGUGUAGCGGUGAAAUGCGUAGAUAUCAGGAGGAACACCGGUGGCGAAGGCGGCCUGCUGGACUGCAACUGACGUUGAGGCCCGAAAGCGUGGGGAGCAAACAGGAUUAGAUACCCCUGUAGUC
rnacentral:rRNA from 1 species